AACAACUGAUGCAACAACCACAGUUGUAACAACAACUGAUGCAACAACCACCACAACAACCACCACAGCCUCCACGCUGCAGACGACCAGUCGGCCCUUCCUGCCGACGAUCGCUCCGUUGAGCAGACUCCCUCUGCAGUUUACUGUUCAUGUCGACUCGCACCACGCCCCUUCAUGUCUUGAUGGUGAUUAUUUCCCCAUUUUUCUGUCUCCAACUCCACGUAACGGGGUCAAUCUGCCGGCGUUUGUCAACCAAACGCUGGAAAUCCGAGUCCGAGCCACUGCAGUGUACACCAGAAUCUCAGACCUGAUUGUUAGUGGACCUGCAGGCACCUCCAAGCACCGAAACUCCACUGAAGAAUUCACCAUCAGAUGGACUCCCACUGAAAACGAAGUCAACGACCAUUUCGCCUUCUGCUUUUAUUUUGAGGCGACAGACAGACACAACAGAGUCUAUCAGUCGGAGCUGCGCUGCGUGACGGCUGACGUCGGACACCAUG